rnacentral:lncRNA from 1 species
AAUUUAUUUAUUUUAUAUAAUUUAAUUAAUUUUAUGUUUUUACACAUGGUGAGAUCCCCCUGAUCCACAAUAAACUUGCUCACUGUAUACUGUUCUGAUAAAUAAACAAAUGUCUUCACUGUCAUUCUUGUGAGGCGAAUUUCCUGCAGGUCUAGCGGACCGUCAUACGAGUACAAUCCUUUCCCGACAAAGGGACACACCAACCUUAUAGGGUGGAAACUAAUAUCUGUUUCCAUAAUACAUGAUUCAGGGUUCAUUUCAUACCCUAAACUAACAAUUACAAGCGAUAAACAUACGAACGUGAACAUGUUGUUUUCAAGAUUUUACAAAUUGCAUUGUGGGAUAUGUUUACAUAAGAUUAGAAUGGGAACAGUCGCCCCAUUAUUGUCUCGCCAUUUGGUCCGCAAUAACCCGACCCGACCUCUAAUUCUUAUUUUCACCCGA